CUGAUGCCCUUAAUUCUGUUGCCCUCACUAAACCUUUCCUGGAUGGUAACAAGACAUGUCAGUGUAAAAUGGCGUGUACUUGUAUUAUAAACUAUAUGAAGCGUACCAGUAACAUUAAAGUACAUGAUUCUUUCGAUGUUUGUCAGGCACUCUGGCAAGCUCUCUGUGAAGCAGCAGAAACAGGAAAUGUGAGUUUUGUACAGAAUGUAAUCAUUGCAGCCGAGAGCCACCCUCAGCUAGCUGUAGCCUUGGUCAAACUAAAUGCAAUUCAAAGAAAAUCAAAGUAUGUGUGCUGCUGUUACACCAGAGUAAUGUGGAACCACCAUCUUAUCUACGGAGUCCACAGAUCAACAAGACACCCUGUACCAUAGAGUGGGUCUCCAAGACUGAGAAAGCUAGACAGAUGGAAUGUGCCAUAAGGACCAUUCCUGACAGUGGACAGUUAGUUAAAGAUAUUGCUCUUGGCAAAACACCAGUUGCCUCUGUGGACUACCGAGAUGUCGAGUUACUGCAACAGUUUCCGGCUCCUGGAUUACCUCCCCUUGAUCGUGUACAAGAACAAGCAGUCUCCAUGGCUUCGGAACCAGAGUGUAUGAUUCCCAUUGUAACAUUCAGUUCGUCUAAGCAGGUGGUUGUUUUUGGAGACUGCCAGCAGGUGCCCCCUAAAGUCAGCUGUCCGGUGGCCAGGAGUUUGGGACUUGGUGCCUCCUUGUUAGACAGAUACAGGGAUAGGGCUCUCACACUCAACACCCAGUACCGCAUGCAACAAGGCAUCAGUGAUUGGGUAUCUAUGGUAACAUUAGGGAAGACUUUGGAGUGUGGUAAUAAGGAUCAGAAGCAGGAGGUGGCUCUGUUCAGUAAUGAUAAGUCUGUGACCUUCUGUCAGUUCUAUGGUAAGGAGGAGUCCAUCAGACAGGACGCCAUUAACCAGGAGGAAUCCAGCCUCGCGGUUGCUGUGGCCUCUAAAUUGGUCAAUCGUCACCGACUGACAGAGGAGAGUAUUGUCAUCCUGUCCUUCUGCCAAGAACAAAGCGGCCUCAUUUCUAAAAAGCUCCAACAGAAGGGCCACAAGAACAUCACUGUGUUGACUGUAGACUGUUGUCAAGGACAAGAAUGGGAGAAUGUUAUCUUGUCCACGGUUCGAUCAUUGCCUGCACACAAAGUAGAGGUUAAAUCCACCACUGAAUGGAAAAACCAGCAUCUAGGUCACCUGGUUAAUCAGGGCAAGGUCAACCUGGCCCUGACUAGGGCCAAGAAACGACUCAUUAUAUUAGGAAAUGAUAAUUUGCUGAGAUGUGAUGCAUUGUGGGAGAAGUAUCUACACUUCUGUAAGAGUAAAGGCCAGGUUGUGGAUGGCAGACAGUAUUUGAAGUGGCUGAAUUAGCGAGUUGUAAUCAGAAAGAACUGGAUGAUUACACUAGGGUUCAGAAAUGUAAUAAACUUUAAAUAUUUCACAUACCAAUGUUAUUUGUAACACAGAGCUUGAGAUGCUUGUGGAUCAUAUAUGUACUAUACAAUGUACACUGAUAAGAAUACUGUUUAUUCAGUUACAUAUGAUUGAUGAAAAAAACAUGUACAUAACCUGUAUACUUAUUAUGUUAAACAUAUAAUAGGUUUGCUUAUACAAUGUAAUAACUGCAUUUUUGCAUAUUUUCUAAUUAUAAACUUGAAUGCUUAUGAUAAACUUGGUGGCGGGACUGAAGUUGAAAACAUAUUAAAAGAUACAUUUGUAAUCCUGUGUGUUAAACACUAGGAGAUUCCUAUAAACAGAGAAACUUAAACUUUAUACUAUGCCAGUGAUUGACAUGUAUUUACACAUUAAGCAUUGAAUGUUUCACAGAAUAGUUUCACGUUCUUCAGAUCGUUGGUUGUAUUUUGUAGUAAGUUAACACGAUGGAUGUAAUGCUAUACACGACGGACAUGGAUGUACUUGUAUAUUCAUGUGCAACAGAAAUGAAACACUUCAACCAGUUUGUCUAAGUAUUGAUUCUGUGAAAGUGAUGUUCAUGAACAUGUUGAUGUAAACUAGUUGCCCAGAUUGUUGUUGUUAUACAACUAAAGUACAUGUAACUUUAUGAACUGGAUUGUUUGAACAUGGUGUUAAUUGGUGUUAAUUAGUAAGCUUGAUAAUUUCAUAUAUUAGUUUAUGCAUGAAAUACAAGAUCAUAAGGUUAAGUCAUUUUAAUUUUUAAUAUAAUAUGAAUUAUAUGCUUUCUAUUAUAAAAGUGUUGUGUUUAGAAAAGAUUGCAAAUAGAUAUAUAAUGAUUGACAUUAUUUCAAUUAGUAACUGUUUCUUUGUUUAUUUUUAACAGUAAUUUUUAAUGUAUGUAAAAUUUGAUAUCUGCUCUGUAUUAUAAACAAGAUGUGUUUAUAAAAGAUUGCAAGAAAGAUUUAAAAUGAUUAACAAUAUUUUAAUAAGUAAUGGUUUGCUUCUUUUUUUUUCUUAUGCUUGUUUGAAAUUUUUUUUUUUUGUAAUGAAAUAAAAAUUGACAACUUC
rnacentral:misc_RNA from 1 species